rnacentral:sRNA from 1 species
CUACUGAGAAGGAGAUAUGGAAACCGGUUUAUUGUUCAAAUUUAGUUAGGCCAAAGGUGUUCUGAUAUCUUUCCCUUCCUUAGCUUUGUUUUCCUUCAAGUGCUUAAUUGCCUGUAGCUUUGGGCCCUCUUCGCCUAUACCGCUAACCCCUCUUUCGAGCACCACGCCAAGUCGCAGAAUCCAUCCCUCGAUAAAAACCAAGUAAGAACCAAGUGACAUAAAUAGGCUCUUUGAGGUUAAUGUACAUGUACAUGUACAUGUACAUGCACAUAUAAACUAACUCAGGGACCCGGUACCAUGGGCCAUGAAUGCGAACACAAAAACGCAACAACGGAAACAGUUCACCUUAAAUAUUCAAGACGGCCAGCCCGGCCUAUUGCCACAGACCGCGUGUAGGGUGCUCGUUUGCUACCUCGCAGUGACAGCCCACAAAAUAUGGGCCCGUUAGUCUGACAUGCGUUUUGUUUAGUUCAGGUGUAUUGGCGACAUUGUGGUGUGGACAUGACGUUGUAGUGGGUUGGCCUACUUCGUCGGUACCCCAUUUGCUUCCUGUUAAGCUGGACGUGGUUGAUUUUAAUUCCAACGUUGUGUGGUGUAUUUAGAUGCAUGAUGAGAAAAUUGAUGGGGU